rnacentral:antisense_RNA from 1 species
CUUCAGCGAGCCGAGGAGCAACGGCCGCCCGGCGGCCCGGUCCUGACCGUACGUCGCCAGCAGCGCGUCGGCCUC